GGAGAGAUGGCUGAGCUGGUCGAAGGCGCACGACUGGAAAUCGUGUAGGCGCUAUAAACGUCUCGAGGGUUCGAAUCCCUCUCUCUCCGCCA
rnacentral:tRNA from 3 species